GGGAGAGUUUGAUCCUGGCUCAGAAUGAACGUUGGCGGCGUGGAUUAGGCAUGCAAGUCGUGCGUAAAGUGUAGCAAUACACGGAAGCGGCGUAAGGGAGAGUAAUACGUAGGUAUUUACCCUGGGGUCUGGGAUAGCGGCGGGAAACUGCCGGUAAUACCAGAUGAUAUCUCCGGAUCAAAGGUGUGAUUCCGCCCUAGGAGAAGAGGGCGGUCUAUUAGCUAGUUGGUAGGGUAACGGCCUACCAAGGCAAAGAUGGAUAUGGGGCGUGAGAGCGUGCCCCCACUCACUGGGACUGAGACACUGCCCAGACACCUACGGGUGGCUGCAGUCGAGAAUCUUCGGCAAUGGGCGCAAGCCUGACCGAGCGACGCCGCGUGGAGGAUGAAGGCCUUCGGGUUGUAAACUCCUGUCGAGGGGGAGAAAAUUUUAGUGGGUUCACCCAUUAGAUUGAUCGAUCCCUGGAGGAAGGGCCGGCUAAUCUCGUGCCAGCAGCCGCGGUAA
rnacentral:rRNA from 1 species